rnacentral:miRNA from 1 species
UGUGCUGCCUCGCUGCCUCAC